GGGUAUCAAACUCAUACCUCCCAUCACUGAGAUUACAGGUCCUCUAGAUGUGUGCCUUUUUUCUAACAAUGGCCGUGACCUUCUGCAUUUGUGAAUUUGCUCAAGAAAAUGAAGGCAUCCUUGAAUCCUGCAGUCCUCUCCAACCUCAGUGGAAACCCAGCUGAAGGAUGAAUUAGUAUUUAUAUAGAGA
rnacentral:lncRNA from 1 species